CGGCCCGCAGGCUCCAGCGUCACUGUCACCGCCAUCCCCGGCGCACGGUCGCGGCCCCGACUCGACUGAGGUCAACAUCACUUGGUGUUCAGAAGUGGGAUCCAAAAAGGACCCCACAAAACUCCCAGGCUGGUGAGGACACAGGUGCCAGUACCCACAGAGCCCACUGAGCUUGCUGCCUUCUAGCUGACCCUGGAGUUUGAGGCUUGCAAGAUUUUGGUUCAUGAGCUGGGGGUCCGGCCUGAGCUCCUGCGAUGGGAGCUCCAAGUCUGAACCACUGGCCUAACAGAGAAUCUCAGACCCCAGGGAAUAUUGACCAGAGUGAGGUCUCCCAGAGGUCCUCAUCUCGGCACAAAGACCCAGCUCUACACAACAGCCUAUAAACUCCAGUGCUGAAAGCCUCAAGCCAAACAACCAGUGAGACAGGAACACAAUCCCACCCACCAAAAAAAAAAACCCAAAAAAACAAAACGAGACAACAAAAAAAUAUGUCACA